AGAACGAACGCUGGCGGCAUGCCUAAUAUAUGCAAGUCGAACGAACUCUUCGGAGUUAGUGGCGCACGGGUGCGUAACGCGUGGGAAUCUGCCCCUUGGUUCGGAAUAACAGUUGGAAACGACUGCUAAUACCGGAUGAUGACGAAAGUCCAAAGAUUUAUCGCCAAGGGAUGAGCCCGCGUAGGAUUAGCUAGUUGGUGAGGUAAAGGCUCACCAAGGCAACGAUCCUUAGCUGGUCUGAGAGGAUGAUCAGCCACACUGGGACUGAGACACGGCCCAGACUCCUACGGGAGGCAGCAGUAGGGAAUGUUGGACAGUGGGACGAAAGCCUGAUCCAGCAAUGCCGCGUGAGUGAGUGAAGGCCGUUAAGGGUUGUAAAGUCUUCUUUACCCGAG
rnacentral:rRNA from 1 species